ensembl:miRNA
UGGGCUAAGGGAGAUGAUUGGGUAGGAAGUAUUAUUCUAUUCAUUUGCCUCCCAGCCUACA